CCCCCCAGAAAAUCAAAUGGUUGCUGCCUUACAAGUGUCAUAAUUAUUUUGAUGAUAGUGAUAUGCUCCUCUCAAUAAACAACCUUUUAUUUUGCUGACUUUUGUAGUCUUUAGUACAAUUAUCACAGAACUUUUUAAUCAUCUAUUAUUCUAUCCCAACUUCAGCCUUCACGACUAACAUUUAAUAGACCAUUUGUUUGAAAAUUUUAGUUGGUUUCUGUAUUCUUGAAGGGAAGAAUCUG
rnacentral:lncRNA from 1 species